rnacentral:rRNA from 1 species
AUUGAACGCUGGCGGCAUGCCUUACACAUGCAAGUCGAACGGCAGCACGGGUGCUUGCACCUGGUGGCGAGUGGCGAACGGGUGAGUAAUACAUCGGAACGUACCUUAUCGUGGGGGAUAACGCAGCGAAAGCUGUGCUAAUACCGCAUACGCCCUGAGGGGAAAAGCGGGGGAUCGCAAGACCUCGCGCGAUUAGAGCGGCCGAUGCCUGAUUAGCUUGUUGGUGGGGUAAAAGCCCACCAAGGCGACGAUCAGUAGCUGGUCUGAGAGGACGAUCAGCCACACUGGGACUGAGACACGGCCCAGACUCCUACGGGAGGCAGCAGUGGGGAAUUUUGGACAAUGGGGGCAACCCUGAUCCAGCAAUGCCGCGUGAGUGAAGAAGGCCUUCGGGUUGUAAAGCUCCUUUGUCAGGGAAGAAACACCGGCUCUAACACAGUCCGGGAAUGACGGUACCUGAAGAAUAAGCACCGGCUAACUACGUGCCAGCCGCCGCCGUAG